CACGUAGGGCGCAAGCGUUUGUCCGGAAUUAUUGGGCGUAAAGAGCUCGUAGGCGGUCUGUUGCGUCCGCUGUGAAAACUCGGGGCUUAACCCCGAGCCUGCAGUGGAUACGGGCAGACUAGAGGUAGGUAGGGGAGAGUGGAAUUCCCGGUGUAGCGGUGAAAUGCGCAGAUAUCGGGAGGAACACCGGUGGCGAAGGCGGUUCUCUGGGCCUUACCUGACGCUGAGGAGCGAAAGCCAGGGGAGCAAACGGGG
rnacentral:rRNA from 1 species